UGCUUAUUUUUAAGAACAAGACAAAGUCUGGUUAUGGAGUCAUUUUUUUUGCAGACAAAAGAAAAGGACAGGACUCGCUCGGUGGGCUCAGCUGCGUACUGGGCUGUCCAUGCAACUCUAGCCGGCGGUGGGCUCGCUCGUCCUCAUCCCCAACUCCCCUAAAAAAAACUAGCCGGCGGUGCCCCCCAUCUGCGGCGCCGGCGAACCGGACCGUGCCUCUCGUCUUGCACGCGCUGCCGUCAUUGCUCACCGCGAAAUCCUCCCCUCACUAGUAUCGCAUCUCUCUACCGCAUCCCAUCUGCAGGGGCGCGCGCCGCCGCGCCGUUCCAAUCGACGGCCUCCGGAAGGGAAAGGGGGGCAUGGGCCGCCUCGCCGCCGUCGUCUUCGGUCUCAUCCCUCCUCGUCGACAAAGGCUGCAGGGCAGACAAGUCUGCAGCCUGAAGGGCAAGGACGGGGAUAAAUCAUACGAGUGGUUCGGUAAACAAAGAAUCACACGAAUGGCAAUUCAAAUUAAGAGCAGCAACUUCUCGCACACCAACAUUGCAAAUUACUGGAUGAUCUGAUGAAUGGCAUUGCUUUAUCUGCUUCAUGAUUAUAUUACAACUUACAGCAAGAAAGCUAACAUACCAACACUUGUAAACAUCUGAACUCUACAAGAAAGCUGACAUACCAACUUAUUGCAGAAAGUAAGAAAGCUAACAUACAGCAAAAAAAGCAUAAUAGAACUGUAAACAUCUGACUUGUAGGAUACUGUUCCAAAGUUCAGAAAAUGUGGUCCUUUAUGUGCCUCCCUUCGCCCAUCGGUGUUGAAUAUGAUUAAUCUAUUGUUGUUUAAUUAAAGGCUAGGUUAGUGUUAGGUUUGUAAGAACCAUAUGAGGGGAAACCCAGGAAAUAUGGAUCAAGACCCAGGAUCUGUGCGGCAUCGUGACCUUAACUGAUGAAAAUGAUAUAUGUGUGUUGUUUCUGGACAAAUCUAGGAAAUUUACUGUUACUUCCUUAAA